rnacentral:rRNA from 1 species
GGUCAAGCGAACAAGUGCAUGUGGUGGAUGCCUUGGCGAUCACAGGCGAUGAAGGACGCGGUAGCCUGCGAAAAGCUACGGGGAGCUGGCAAACGAGCUUUGAUCCGUAGAUGUCCGAAUGGGGAAACCCGGCCCUUUUGGGUCAUCCUAGACUGAAUACAUAGGUCUAGUGAAGCGAACGCGGUGAACUGAAACAUCUAAGUAACCGCAGGAAAAGAAAUCAACCGAGAUUCCCAAAGUAGUGGCGAGCGAAAUGGGAUGAGCCUUGCACUCUUUAUUUGUAUUGUUAGCCGAACGCUCUGGAAAGUGCGGCCAUAGCAGGUGAUAGCCCUGUAGGCGAAAACAGUAUGAAAGAACUAGGUGUGCGACAAGUAGGGCGGGACACGUGAAAUCCUGUCUGAAGAUGGGGGGACCAUCCUCCAAGGCUAAAUACUCGUGAUCGACCGAUAGUGAACCAGUACCGUGAGGGAAAGGCGAAAAGAACCCCGGGAGGGGAGUGAAAUAGAUCCUGAAACCGCAUGCAUACAAACAGUCGGAGCCUCGCAAGGGGUGACGGCGUACCUUUUGUAUAAUGGGUCAGCGACUUACGUUCAGUAGCAAGCUUAACCGUAUAGGGCAGGCGUAGCGAAAGCGAGUCCGAAUAGGGCGUUCAGUUGCUGGGCGUAGACCCGAAACCAGGUGAUCUAUCCAUGGCCAGGAUGAAGGUGCGGUAACACGUACUGGAGGUCCGAACCCACUAACGUUGAAAAGUUAGGGGAUGAGCUGUGGAUAGGGGUGAAAGGCUAAACAAACCUGGAAAUAGCUGGUUCUCUCCGAAAACUAUUUAGGUAGUGCCUCGUGUCUCACCUUCGGGGGUAGAGCACUGUCAUGGUUGGGGGGUCUAUUGCAGAUUACCCCGCCAUAGCAAACUCCGAAUACCGAAGAGUGCAAUCACGGGAGACAGACAUCGGGUGCUAACGUCCGGUGUCAAGAGGGAAACAACCCAGACCGCCAGCUAAGGUCCCCAAAUAUAGCUAAGUGGGAAACGAAGUGGGAAGGCUAAAACAGUCAGGAGGUUGGCUUAGAAGCAGCCACCCUUUAAAGAAAGCGUAAUAGCUCACUGAUCGAGUCGUCCUGCGCGGAAGAUGUAACGGGGCUAAGCUAUAUACCGAAGCUGCGGAUGCGAGCUUGCUCGCAUGGUAGGAGAGCGUUCCGUAAGCCUGCGAAGGUGCCUUGUAAAGGGUGCUGGAGGUAUCGGAAGUGCGAAUGCUGACAUGAGUAGCGAUAAAGGGGGUGAAAGGCCCCCUCGCCGUAAGCCCAAGGUUUCCUACGCAACGUUCAUCGGCGUAGGGUGAGUCGGCCCCUAAGGCGAGGCAGAAAUGCGUAGCUGAUGGGAAGCAGGUCAAUAUUCCUGCACCAUUGUUAGAUGCGAUGGGGGGACGGAUCGCGGAAGGUUGUCCGGGUGUUGGAAGUCCCGGUCGCUGCAUUGGAGAAGGCGCUUAGGCAAAUCCGGGCGCAGGAUUCAAGGGUGUGGCGCGAGCUCCUUAGGGAGCGAAGCAAUUGGAAGUGGUUCCAAGAAAAGCCUCUAAGCUUCAGUCUAACGAUGACCGUACCGCAAACCGACACAGGUGGGCGAGAUGAGUAUUCUAAGGCGCUUGAGAGAACUCGGGAGAAGGAACUCGGCAAAUUGGUACCGUAACUUCGGGAUAAGGUACGCCCUUGUAGCUUGACUGGCCUGCGCCAGGAGGGUGAAGGGGUUGCAAUAAACUGGUGGCUGCGACUGUUUAAUAAAAACACAGCACUCUGCAAACACGAAAGUGGACGUAUAGGGUGUGACGCCUGCCCGGUGCCGGAAGAUUAAAUGAUGGGGUGCAAGCUCUUGAUUGAAGUCCCGGUAAACGGCGGCCGUAACUAUAACGGUCCUAAGGUAGCGAAAUUCCUUGUCGGGUAAGUUCCGACCUGCACGAAUGGCGUAACGAUGGCCACACUGUCUCCUCCCGAGACUCAGCGAAGUUGAAGUGUUUGUGAUGAUGCAAUCUACCCGCGGCUAGACGGAAAGACCCCAUGAACCUUUACUGUAGCUUUGCAUUGGACUUUGAACCGAUCUGUGUAGGAUAGGUGGGAGGCUAUGAAACCGGAACGCUAGUUUCGGUGGAGCCGUCCUUGAAAUACCACCCUGGUUUGUUUGAGGUUCUAACCUUGGCCCGUGAUCCGGGUCGGGGACAGUGCAUGGUAGGCAGUUUGACUGGGGCGGUCUCCUCCCAAAGCGUAACGGAGGAGUACGAAGGUACGCUAGGUACGGUCGGAAAUCGUGCUGAUAGUGCAAUGGCAUAAGCGUGCUUAACUGCGAGACCGACAAGUCGAGCAGGUGCGAAAGCAGGUCAUAGUGAUCCGGUGGUUCUGUAUGGAAGGGCCAUCGCUCAACGGAUAAAAGGUACUCUGGGGAUAACAGGCUGAUACCGCCCAAGAGUUCAUAUCGACGGCGGUGUUUGGCACCUCGAUGUCGGCUCAUCUCAUCCUGGGGCUGUAGCCGGUCCCAAGGGUAUGGCUGUUCGCCAUUUAAAGAGGUACGUGAGCUGGGUUUAAAACGUCGUGAGACAGUUUGGUCCCUAUCUGCCGUGGGCGUUGGAUAUUUGAAGGGGGCUGCUCCUAGUACGAGAGGACCGGAGUGGACGAACCUCUGGUGUACCGGUUGUCACGCCAGUGGCAUCGCCGGGUAGCUAUGUUCGGAAGAGAUAACCGCUGAAAGCAUCUAAGCGGGAAACUCGCCUUAAGAUGAGAUAUCCCUGGGGACUAGAUCCCCUUGAAGGGUCGUUCGAGACCAGGACGUUGAUAGGUCAGGUGUGUAAGCGCAGUAAUGCGUUCAGCUAACUGAUACUAAUUGCCCGUAAGGCUUGA